ACAAGGGGGGCGGAGCGCUAAGAAAGAGAAAGCGUUAUCACUAUACGAAAUGAAGCAGCGGCUAGCACGCUAAGCUAAGAUCAACCAAUGUUCGAACGCGGAGCCUUUCUUUCUCGGUCGUCUGUCUUAAUAAGUGGAUUCCGAUUCAUGCAGUCGUUCUCUGCUGCAUUGGUCUUUUCACUCCCCACCCUCCACCAUAACAAAAUGUUUCCACUAUAUCUCAGGAGUUGUUUUUGUUUUGUUUGUGGACAAACGAUAUCCGGUCAGGCCUAUGGCUGGAUCCUUUUAGAUCUACGGGCCGGCCGGCCCCGGCCGUUUACAUGAGCAUAGGGAAUCUAUACUCGAGCGUUCCACUGGGCCCCUGACAGGAUAGGUGAGGAAUCACUCUGGAUCUUCUUUUUUUGGGCUACAACUUCGCCGAGCCGACUAGCAUCCCUUUCCACUGUGCAUUUUUCGAACAAAGAAGA
rnacentral:lncRNA from 1 species